UUAUUGAAAAUGUAAAUUUGGGUCUAUGACGAUUAUAAGUUAUGUUCUUUAAAAUUAAAGAAUUUGGCGGUAUUUUAGUCUAUUCAGAGGAACCUGUGUUUUAAUUGAUAGUCCACGAUGAAUUUUACUUUAAUUUUAAAUUUGUAUAUCGUCGUUUACAAAAAUUUUAGGAGAAUUAUAAUUUUUUUGAUUUUUUAUUAGAGAGUAUUUCAGAUCAAGGUAUAGUUUAUGUUAAAGAUGGCAUGGGUUACAUUAAAGUUAUUUAUGGUUUUUGUUUUUAAAAUUCGAAAUAAAUUGGAUUUGGAAGUAAACUCUUUUUCUUUGGGGGUUGACUUAGCUCUAAAAUAUGC
rnacentral:rRNA from 1 species